GAUUUCUUAAAUAUUUUUCUAUUUAAAAAUUUUUUAAAAUAUUUAUGAGGAGUAAUACGCUUUCGUUUUUUGGGUUAUCUAAUUUAUUGUGAGAUAAAAGGGAAAAUCUUUUUGUUUUUCAUAUUAAAAAAUUUUUUUUAUAUUUUUUAAUAGUAAGAGAAUGUGUAAUAACUUAAAAAGUUUUUUAGAAAAAUUAUUAUUUUAGGAACAUUAAACAUAAAUUAAUAAAUUAGUAGAAUUAUAUUUAUAAGCAUAUUUUUAAUAUAAAAAUUUAAAGUUAUAAAUUAUUUUUAUUUACUGAUUUUUUCCUAGACUGGUUAAUAAAAUCUUAGCUGCAAAUUUUGCAGUUAUUUCUGCCCCAUGCAAAUAAUUUAUUAUAGAAAGUUAAUGGCUGAUAAAACACUAAGGUAGCAAAAUCAUUAGUUAUUUAAUUGGUAACUUGUAUGAAUGAAUUUUCUAGGGAAAUAUUAAUUUUUUUCUUGAAUUUAUAAAUUUAUUGAAAAUAAUAAUUUUUUCUGUAAGACUAAAAGACCCUAAAAUUUUUAUAAUGAAAAAAUUAUUUGGUUGGGGUAACAAUAAAAAUAAAAUAUUUAGUAAUUUACUUAUUUUAGAACUUUUUUUAUUGACAGAAAGUAAAAUACUUUAGGGAUAACAGCUUAAUUAUUUUUAAGAGUUCUUAUUAUUAAAAUAGUUUUAGACCUCGAUGUUGGAUUGAAAUUACUUUUUAGGGCAG
rnacentral:rRNA from 1 species